UUAAAUAGAUAUUUGUGCACUAAAUACAUAAUAAUAUGACAAAGAAGAAGAAGACGUUGCGUGUCACCGUAUAGCCAAGGAAAUAUCUUGUGAAAGUUUUAAAUCAAGGCGGAAAUUUAUUGAAAAAAUACUCAACAUAACCUACAAUUACAGUGAAAUACUGACAAUAUCUAGUACCGUGAUAAUAUUUCUGAAUAAUAAGUGCAAACCCAUACUCUAAGAUCGUGCUUUCAACCACAUACUUAAUACAAUUCCAUAAUCAUAUCGAAAUCCAAAAGUUCGUAAGUCGUAAGUGAUCAUAGUUUAGGUGUGUACAUAUUAGACUCAUGCAUUGUAAACUCUAUAAACGAUUACUCGUAAUGUAUUAAUCAUAUUAAAAGUUGAAUGCGGCUGUUUUAUUUUUUAUUCUUUAUGUUUAAAGCAGUUCUAAGAAAAAGCAGUAAUAACUAGUAAUAAGAGUUG